rnacentral:rRNA from 1 species
GACGAACGCUGGCGGCGUGCUAAACACAUGCAAGUCGAACGAUGAAGCGGGUGCUUUCACUCGUGGAUUAGUGGCGAACGGGCGAGUAACACGUGAGGAACCUGUCCUUUUCUUUGGGAUAACGGCUGGAAACGGCUGCUAAUACUGGAGAUUCUGUCUUCAUCGCAUGGUGUGGCUUGGAAAGGUUUUUUCUGGUGUUGGUUGUGCUCGCGGCCUAUCAGCUUGUUGGUGUGGUGAUGGCUUAACAAGGCUUUGACGGGUAGCCGGCCUGAGCGGGUGGUCGGUAGCACUGGGACUGAGCUACGGCCCAGACUCCUCCGGGAGGCAGCAGUGGGGAAUAUUGCACAAUGGCUGAAAGUUUGAUGCAGCGACGCUGCGUGGAGGGUGUAGGCCUUCGGGUUGUGAACUCCUUUUUCUCGCGAAAAAGGCACAGUUUUGGCUGUGUUGAUGGUAGUGGGGGAAGAAGCGCCGGCUAACUACGUG